AGUGAACGCUGGCGGUAGGCCUAACACAUGCCAGUCGAACGGCAGCACAGUAAGAGCUUGCUCUUACGGGUGGCGAGUGGCGGACGGGUGAGGAAUACAUCGGAAUCUACUUUUUCGUGGGGGAUAACGUAGGGAAACUUACGCUAAUACCGCAUACGACCUACGGGUGAAAGCAGGGGAUCUUCGGACCUUGCGCGAUUGAAUGAGCCGAUGUCGGAUUAGCUAGUUGGCGGGGUAAAGGCCCACCAAGGCGACGAUCCGUAGCUGGUCUGAGGGGAUGAUCAGCCACACUGGAACUGAGACACGGUCCAGACUCCUACGGGAGGCAGCAGUGGGGAAUAUUGGACAAUGGGCGCAAGCCUGAUCCAGCCAUACCGCGUGGGUGAAGAAGGCCUUCGGGUUGUAAAGCCCUUUUGUUGGGAAAGAAAAGCAGCAGGUUAAUACCCCGCUGUUCUGACGGUACCCAAAGAAUAAGCACCGGCUAACUUCGU
rnacentral:rRNA from 1 species